GUCUACAGCCAUGCUACCUUGAACACACCUGAUCCUGUCUAAUGUUGGAACCUAAGCAGGGUUGGACCUGGUUAGUACUUGGAUGGGAGACCACCUAGGAAGACCAGGUGCUGUAGGCA
rnacentral:rRNA from 1 species